GACGAACGCUGGCGGCGUGCUUAACACAUGCAAGUCGAACGGAAAGGCCCUGCUUUUGUGGGGUGCUCGAGUGGCGAACGGGUGAGUAACACGUGAGUAACCUGCCCUUGACUUUGGGAUAACUUCAGGAAACUGGGGCUAAUACCGGAUAGGAGCUCCUGCUGCAUGGUGGGGGUUGGAAAGUUUCGGCGGUUGGGGAUGGACUCGCGGCUUAUCAGCUUGUUGGUGGGGUAGUGGCUUACCAAGGCUUUGACGGGUAGCCGGCCUGAGAGGGUGACCGGCCACAUUGCGACUGAGAUACGGCCCAGACUCCUACGGGCGGCAGCAGUGGGGAAUAUUGCACAAUGGGCGGAAGCCUGAUGCAGCAACGCCGCGUGCGGGAUGACGGCCUUCGGGUUGUAAACCGCUUUCGCCUGUGACGAAGCGUGAGUGACGGUAAUGGGUAAAGAAGCACCGGCUAACUACGUG
rnacentral:rRNA from 1 species